rnacentral:rRNA from 1 species
GACGAACGCUGGCGGCGUGCUUAAUACAUGCAAGUGGUGCGACGAACCAGGCGUCCGCCUGGCGCACAGCCGCGAACGGCAGAGUAACACGUGGCCAACCUGCCCUGCUACUCGGGACAACUCGGGGAAACCCGGGCUAAUCCGAGUCUGUUGCCGGCUCAUGACAGCCGUCACCCUCGGAAGCCUCGCCGCCCGCGAAAGGCUGGGCCCGCGGCCCAUUAGCUGGUUGGUGGGGUAAUGGCCUACCAAGGCAACGAUGGGUAGCUGGUCUGAGAGGACGACCGGCCACACUGGGACUGAGACACGGCCCAGACUCCUACGGGAGGCUGCAGUGGGGAAUCUUGCGCAAUGGGCGACAGCUUGACGCAGCAACGCCGCGUGAAGGAAGAAGGUUUUCGGGUCGUAAACCCCUUUCAGAUAGGACGAAGCUUUAUUAGUUAAUAACCAAUUGGAGUGACGGUACUUUCAGAAGAAGCCCCGGCUAACUACGUGCCAGCAGCCGCCGUAA